GUUAAUCAUGUUCCUAAAAUUUAAAUAUAUAUGAUAUAUUAAUUUUGGAAAUGAAAAGAAUACUUCUUCAUUAAAGUUAUAACUUUAAAACAUUAUAUGAAGAUAGAAUGUAUAUGGGAGUUAAUCAUGUUCCUAAAAUUUAAAUAUAUAUAUGAUAUAUUAAUUUUGGAAAUGAAAAGAAUACUUCUUCAUUAAAGUUAUGACUUUAAAACAUUAUAUGAAGAUAGAAUGUAUAUGGGAGAUAUAGUCUAUAUACAUGGGA
rnacentral:lncRNA from 1 species